rnacentral:rRNA from 1 species
UACAGAGGUCUCAAGCGUUUGUUCGGAAUCACUGGGCGUAAAGGGUGCGUAGGCCGCACGGUAAGUCAGAGGUGAAAAUCCCGGAGCUCAAACUCCGGAAUGGCCUCCGAUACUGACCGUGCUCGAGGACUGGAGAGGAGUCUGGAAUUCACAGUGGAGCAGUGAAAUGCGUGGAUAUUGUGAGGAACACUAGUGGCGAAGGCGAGACUCUGGACAGUUCCUGACGCUGAGGCACGAAGGCCAGGGAGCAAACGGG